rnacentral:rRNA from 1 species
GAUGAACGCUGGCGGCGUGCUUAACACAUGCAAGUCGAGCGAGAAGUUCUUGAAUGACCCUUCGGGUGAAUGAUGGAAUGGAAAGCGGCGGACGGGUGAGUAACGCGUGGGCAACCUGCCCCAUACAAGAGGAUAGCCACUGGAAACGGUGAUUAAUACUCUAUAAGACCACAGAAGCACAUGCUUCAGAGGUAAAAACUCCGGUGGUAUGGGAUGGGCCCGCGUCUGAUUAGCUAGUUGGUAAGGUAACGGCUUACCAAGGCGACGAUCAGUAGCCGACCUGAGAGGGUGAUCGGCCACACUGGAACUGAGACACGGUCCAG